rnacentral:rRNA from 1 species
UCCGGAGGGUGCAAUCGUUAAUCGGAAUUACUGGGCGUAAAGCGUGCGUAGGCGGCUGCUUAAGUCAGAUGUGAAAGCCCCGGGCUUAACCUGGGAACGGCAUUUGAUACUGGGCAGCUCGAGUUGAGUAGAGGAGAGGGGAAUUUCCGGUGUAGCGGUGAAAUGCGUAGAGAUCGGAAGGAACACCAGUGGCGAAGGCGCCUCUCUGGACUCAAACUGACGCUGAGGUACGAAAGCGUGGGUAGCAAACAGG